GAGCAUUUUUGCUAGAUUGAGGGAAACAGUAGAGGGUAAGUGCUCUAGGCAUGCCAGCCAGUGCCCAGUACCCAGUGCCCAGUGCCAGGUACCUGGAAGACUGAAUAUUUCUUAAGUAAGUUUAUUCAGGUAUACACAAAUACAGUUACAUAAAUUAUCAUACAUAGCAGUAUAAUAAUAAUAAUAUCUUUAUUUACUACAAGUACAUGUACAAGGUAUACAAGUACAUGUACAAGUACAUGUACAAGGUAUACAAGUACAUGUACAAGGUAUACAGUCCUAGCUGACAACAAUGACAUACUACUAUAUAGAAACUCCCUUGUUAUGCUCCACAUUUCGGUACAUUUCGGGCAAAUUAGGUCAGUGUCCCAGGAUGCGACCCACACCAGUCAACUAACACCCAGGUACCCAUUUUACUGAUGGGGAACAUAGACAACAGGUGGAAAGAAACACGUCCAAUGUUUCUACUCUGGCUGGGAAUCGAACCCAGGCCCUCACCGUGUGAAGCGAGAGCGUUAGCCACCAGGCCACCAGAGACAACCUCCAGGAUAACCCCAAAAGAGUCAAAGUGACUUAGUAUUUCCAUUCCAUUAUAAGCCCACCAGCAGCCCACAAGCACUGAUAUUGUCGUGGCAGCCCAACAAGGAUAACAAUUAGUGGUAUGACAAUCAUCAACAAUUCUGUCAACUUCAGUAUGAUGUAAAAGACAUGGCAUUGUAAAUACAGAUGUCUGGCAACUAUAUAAGCAUUUUUUGUACCUUGGAAAAAGAGGUCCACCAGUGAUUCAUUUAAAAGUAGAGACAUUUUGGAGGCAGUUGAACAGUCUUGGGCCUCUGACACUUAUUGUGUUGUCUCUCAACGUGCUAGUGACACCCUGAGUUUUGUUUGAUGCUUUCAGUCAACCUGGAUAAACCAGCAUGUACCUGAGGUGAACUAAGUCACCCUUGGUAAACCAGCAUGUACCUGAGGUUGAGUGGGUCACCUUGGGUAAACCAGCGAGUACCUGAGGUGAAGUGGGUCACCCUGGGUAAACCAGCGAGUACCUGAGGUUGAGUGGGUCACCCUGGGUAAACCAGCAAGUACCUGAGGUGAAGUGGGUCACCCUGGGUAAACCAGCAAGUACCUGAGGUGAAGUGGGUCACCCUGGGUAAACCAGUGUGUACCUGAGGUGACAUGGGUCCACCUCUGUAAAUAUGAGGAUCUGACCAUUUGGCUGCUUCCAAAGACUCAUUUUGAUAUAGUUACAUGAUAGAUACUUUCAAUUAUAGGUAUUCAAGGUUAUAGGAGACAGGAGGAAAUACUUAUUGGGGGCACUAACCCCCAGACACACCCAGGUAUACUCCAGGUAUACUCCAAGCAUACUCCAGGUAGACUACAGGCAUACACCAGGUAUACUCCAAGCAUACUCCAGGUAUACUCCAAGCAUACUCCAGGUAGACUACAGGCAUACUCCAGGUAUACUCCAAGCAUACUCCAGGUAUACUCCAAGCAAACUCCAGGUACGCUCCAGGUAUAUUCCAAGUAUAUAACAACCCAAAACCAAAUCCUCAGUCACUAUAACACAUCUUUAGAAUGGAAAUUAAUUAGGUUUGAUCCGAGGCACGGAGAACUGCUCCGGUUCCUUGAAUCACAGAAAAAUGAUGAGGAAGGCGAAGAAUGUGUAUUGCGUCGUUCAGGUGAACGUUCUCACGGGUAAUUUGAUGCCUCGUUUAUCACCAUGGGAAUGACGAGUGUGUAUCAGUUCACUGGUGAACACAUGAACGACAAUAACACUCCGGUAGAUCUCAAGAACCACAGAGUUCAUUUCUUCAAGGCAAAUGUUAGAAUCCGUGUUGUUUACGAUAUCUUCCCAGCUUGUUUCAUUUAGGACAUGGUUGACUUGGUCCCAUUGUAUGUUUUUGAUACUGAAAUUGAAUUUUGUGAUAUACAGUCCAACUCCCCCUUGUUGCCUGUUUAGUCUGUCGCAUCGGAAUAGGUUAUAACCUGGGAUCCAUAUUUCGUUGUCGUAAUGAUCCUUUAUCUGGGUCACUGUGAAUGCUGUAAACAUCGCAUUUGACUCCGUGAGCAGCCCCUUGAUGUAAGGAAUUUUGUUGUUUUUUGACGGUUUUAGACCUUGUAUGUUUGCAAAGACAAAUGUCGUUAUAUUGGUGGAAUUUAGGGGGGUUUUAUUUGCUGACUCUAAUAUAUGUUGUUCUGGGGUAGAGGCCAAUGUCCGUGCCUCUGCUCCAGAAGUGUUUUCAGGUGGUGUAGGAUUAUUGUUAUUUCUUGCCAGUCUUUUUUCCCUUCUGGCCCUAAAAAAACCUGUGUCCCUGGAGAGGUUAUGGCUCCCCCCAUUUGUUUCCCAUAGUCUGGCUGGUCUGUGUCUUCUAGUCCCCUUAAGUUGAUGUGCCUGGCAGUAUGCACUGUAGCGUUUUCUUUCAUGGCUUGACGAGUGACGCAUUUCUGGGUGAAAUAAGUUGCAAAAAGUUGCGCUCUCUUGUUGUCAUGUGGAUGCGGAAGUUUUCUGGGAUGCUCAGAGGUGCAUGUCCCACCUGUUUUACCAGACAUACCCUGCCUGGCAGCAGUGAUAAGCAGAUACACGCACACAUGCAUAUAUUAAGCGAGGUUCCACAGUCACUGUCUACUGUUAUUCUUCACUGCUUGGCACUACCACUGCUUCAUAUUCACUGCCUGGCACUGCCACUGCUACUGCUCCAUUACUCACUGCCUGGCACUGCCACUGCCACUGCUCCAUUACUCACUGCCUGCCACUGCCACUGCUCCAUUACUCACUGCCUGCCACUGCCACUGCUCCACAACAUACAUGCAGCCAGGAAUGGCUUCCAACAUACCCAUAGUUCUAACCAUCAUCCUGGUGUUGGCGGUGAAAAAACAGACAGCAGUUAAAAACUGUGCCGUUUCUUGUUCCUCUGCUGGAUCACUUGCUGCAGACCCCUUCGACUGUCAGAAUUACUACGUGUGUUUGAGCGUCCACUUCCUACAGUGACUUUCCAAAUUCCUGCCCUGAUGGUGAGAAUUUUGACAGUGUUCACCAGGUGUGCACGACUUCAGCAGUGACUUGCCCUUCUUUCUGCUUAAAGUGCACAUACGACUGUACAAAAAAAAUUGUUAAUAAGGCAUCAGACCAGUACAAUUGUUCCGUAUACUAUGAGUGCAGUGGGACGACUCCACUGAAGAUGGAGUGCCCAUCAGGCCUGUAUUUUGAUGGUCACAUUUGCCAGACAGAUAUGAAGAAAUGCUGUUCAUGUCGACCAGAUUGCACUGGUGCUCCAAUUGGUCAAAAGUAUCCAGAUUAUCGUAAUUGCACUAAUUAUUAUCUUUGUACAGCAAGUGGAAUACCAGACGAAGCCUAUCACUUUCACUGUCUAACUGGUAACUUCGACAUUGUACAACAAGACUGUGUAGAAGGCGCUAAAUGUGAAACCCAGUGCGAUGAGAUUCCAUAUUGUGAUGAUUCCUUCAUAUGUGCUUCAGUUGGGUACUUCCCUAGGUGCUAUGGCAUGUGUGACACGUAUUAUUACCUAUGUGAUACAAAUAUGAUCGGCCAGCCAGGAGAACUCUUGGUUUGCUCAGAUGGGAAAGUCAUCGACCCUGACAUAGUAAAGUGUGUUGAUCCAGAAGAUUGUCCUUACUAACACUCCUGAAGGAUCCUUGAAGUUUGUACACUAGGUUCCUUACUGCAGGAUCCUUCAGUCUUAUACACCAGGAUCCUCACCGCAGGAUCCCACUGGUGUUUUUAAGGUCCCCACUACUGUUAUUAAGGUCCCCACAACUGUUAUUAAGGUCCCCACUACAGUUAUUAAGGUCCUCACUACUGUUAUUAAGGUUCCCACUACUGUUAUUAAGGUCCCCACUACUGUUAUUAAGGUCCCCACUACUGUUAUUAAGGUCCCCACAACUGUUAUUAAGGUCCCCACUACUGAUAUUAAGGUCCCAGUACUGUUCUUAAGGACCCACUACUGUUAUUAAGGUCCCACUACUGUUAUUAAGGUCCUCACUGCUGUUAUUAAGGUCCUCACUACUGUUAUUAAGGUCCCCACUACUACUAUUAAGGUCCCCAUAACUGUUAUUAAGGUCCCCACUACAGUUAUUAAGGUCCUCACUACUGUUAUUUAGGUCCCCACUACUGUUAUUAAGGUCCUCACUACUGUUAUUAAGGUCCUCACUACUGUUACUAAGGUCCCCACUACUGUUAUUAAGGUCCCCACUACUGUUAUUAAGGUCCCCACUACUGUUAUUAAGGUCCAAACAACUGUUAUUAAGGUCC